UUUUUUUAUGGCAAUGGUGGGCAAUAAAUUUGAUAAACAAACUAGAAUAAUUUGACCAAUAUACAUAAAGAUCUAAGCUCAAGAGGCUGCAAAGUUGAUGGAAGAGAUAAAUGGCAAAGUCAAGAACAAAAGCCGAGAACAACAACAACAAAAGGCUCAGUGAUGACAUUAUUACUAGAUCCAAGCUUUUGGAAGUUGGAGUGAAGCUUGAUCGCCUUGAAUGACUUCUUCAUAACCCACCUUCAAAACCCAACUGAUGUUAACAGAUCGAUUCGUUGGAUGAGACACUUGUGUAUGUGAGGGUAUGAGAGCAAAGAGACUUGUUGUUGUACUGUUGGGAAUGAGGCAACUGCGUGCAGAUAGGAGAAAGCGGCUGCUGCGGUGGAGCUUAUGG
rnacentral:lncRNA from 1 species